rnacentral:rRNA from 1 species
GACGAACGCUGGCGGCGUGCUUAACACAUGCAAGUCGAACGGAAAGGCCCUGCUUUUGUGGGGUGCUCGAGUGGCGAACGGGUGAGUAACACGUGAGUAACCUGCCCUUGACUUUGGGAUAACUUCAGGAAACUGGGGCUAAUACCGGAUAGGAGCUCCUGCUGCAUGGUGGGGGUUGGAAAGUUUCGGCGGUUGGGGAUGGACUCGCGGCUUAUCAGCUUGUUGGUGGGGUAGUGGCUUACCAAGGCUUUGACGGGUAGCCGGCCGGAGAGGGUGACCGGCCAGAUUGGGACGGAGAGACGGACCAGACUACCACGGGAGGCAGGAGUGGGGAAUAUUGCACGAGGGGCGGAAGCCUGAUGCAGCAACGCCGCGUGCGGGAAGACGGCCUUCGGGUUGUAAACCGCUUUCGCCUGUGACGAAGCGUGAGUGACGGUAAUGGGUAAAGAAGCACCGGCUAACUACGU